GUCGGGGUAGCUCAGCUGGUUAGAGCGAGCGUUUCAUAAGCGCUAGGUCGUGGGUUCAAGUCCCACCCUCGACA
rnacentral:tRNA from 1 species